GAUGAACGCUGGCGGCGUGCUUAACACAUGCAAGUCGAACGGUGAAGCGCUUUCCUUUUUGGUGGGUGGGGAUGGGUGGCGAAAGGGUGAGUAAAACGAGAGUAACCUGCUCUCUUCUUCUGGAUAACCGCAUGAAAGUGUGGCUAAUACGGGAUAUUCUGUGUCUGUCGCAUGAUGGGACUGGGAAAGAUAUUGUUUUGGAGGGGGAUGGGCUCGCGGCCUAUCAGGUUGUUGGUGGGGUGCCGGCCUACCAAGGCGGUGACGGGUAGCGGGGCUGAGAGGGUCGGCGGCCAUGCAGGGGCGAAGAGACGGCGCGGACUCCGGCGGGAGGCAGCAGGGGGGAUUAGAGAACGAGGGGAGGAAUGCUGAAGCAGCAACGCGGGGUGAGAGAAGGAGUCCGGGUUGUAGUGAACCUCUUUCGGGAAUGAAAAGGGCCUGCAUCGUAUGUGGGUGGGUUGACGGUAGCUAGAGAAGAAGCGCCGGCUAACUACGUG
rnacentral:rRNA from 1 species